rnacentral:rRNA from 1 species
ACCGUCUCAGUUCGGAUCGCAGGCUGCAACCCGCCUGCGUGAAGUCGGAAUCGCUAGUAAUCGCGGAUCAGCAUGCCGCGGUGAAUACGUUCCCGGGCCUUGUACACACCGCCCGUCACACCAUGAGAGUCGGGAACACCCGAAGUCCGCAGCCUAACCGCAAGGAGGGCGCGGCCGAAGGUGGGUUCGAUAAUUGGGGUGAAGUCGUAACAAGGUAGC